GCCCAUGUAGCUCAGUUGGUAGAGCACACCCUUGGUAAGGGUGAGGUCAUCGGUUCGACUCCGAUCAUGGGCU
rnacentral:tRNA from 1 species